rnacentral:rRNA from 1 species
UACAUGUGGGGCAAGCGUUGUUCGGAAUUACUGGGCAUAAAGGGCGCGUAGGCGGCAAUUCAAGUCAGCUGUGAAAUCUCCGGGCUUAACUCGGAACGGUCAGCUGAUACUGCUUUGCUAGAGUGCAGAAGGGGCAAUCGGAAUUCCUGGUGUAGCGGUGAAAUGCGCAGAUAUCAGGAGGAACACCGGUGGCGAAGGCGGGUCUCUGGGCCGAUACUGACGCUGAGGUGCGAAAGCGUGGGGAGCAAACAGG